CGCUAAGGCGUUGAAGCAGUGUAUGUCAGACUUCCCAGAAAAGCCCGAACCACGUUAAUCUCUAAUUACCUGUACCCGAAACCGACACAGGUGGGUAGGUAGAGUAUACUAAGGGGCGCGAGAUAACUCUCUCUAAGGAACUCGGCAAAAUGACUCCGUAACUUCGGGAGAAGGAGUGCCUUAUUUAUAAGGUUGCAAUAACAAGAUCCAAGCAACUGUUUAUCAAAAACACAGGUCUCCGCUAAGUCGUAAGACGAUGUAUGGGGGCUGACGCCUGCCCAGUGCCAGAAGGUUAAAGAAGUUGGUUAGUGUAUGCGAAGCUGAUGACUGAAGCCCUGGUGAACGGCGGCCGUAACUAUAACGGUCCUAAGGUAGCGAAAUUCCUUGUCGGGUAAGUUCCGACCCGCACGAAAGGCGUAAUGAUUUGGAUACUGUCUCGGAGAGAGGCUCGGUGAAAUAGACUUGUCUGUGAAGAUGCGGACUACCUGCACCAGGACAGAAAGACCCUAUGAAGCUUUACUGUAACUUGAAAUUGGAAUUGGACUUUGCUUGCGCAGUAUAGGUGGGAAGCGUUGAAAAUAUUCUUGCGGGAGUAUUGGAGCUAUCAGUGAGAUACCACUCUUGUAAUGUUAGAUUUCUAACUUUGAACCAUAAUCUGGUCAAAGAACAGUUUCAGGUGGGCAGUUUGACUGGGGCGGUCGCCUCCCAAAUGGUAACGGAGGCGUACAAAGGUUUCCUCUGAACGGAUAGAAAUCGUAUCUAGAGUGUAAGGGCAUAAGGAAGCUUGACUGUGAGACCUACAAGUCGAGCAGGGACGAAAGUCGGUCCUAGUGAUCUGACGGUACUGAGUGGAAAGGCCGUCACUCAACGGAUAAAAGUUACUCUAGGAUAACAGGCUGAUCUCCCCCAAGAGUUCACAUCGACGGGGAGGUUUGGCACCUCGAUGUCGGCUCAUCGCAUCCUGGGGCGGUAGUACGUCCCAAGGGUUGGGCUGUUCGCCCAUGAAAGCGGUACGCGAGCUGGGUUCAGAACGUCGUGAGACAGUUCGGUCCAUAUCCGGUGUAGGCGCUAGAAUAUUGAGAGGAGCCUUCUUUAGUACGAGAGGACCGAGAAGGACACACCGCUGGUGUACCAGUUAUCGUGCCAACGGUAAACGCUGGGUAGCUAUGUGUGGAGUGGAUAACCGCUGAAAGCAUCUAAGUGGGAAGCCCACCUCGAGAUGAGUAUUC
rnacentral:rRNA from 1 species